GGGUUGUGAGGUUAAGCGACUAAGCGUACACGGUGGAUGCCCCGGCAGUCAGAGGCGAUGAAGGACGUGCUAAUCUGCGAAAAGCGUCGGUAAGGUGAUAUGAACCGUUAUAACCGGCGAUGUCCGAAUGGGGAAACCCAGUGCAAUUCGUUGCACUAUCGUUAACUGAAUACAUAGGUUAACGAGGCGAACCGGGGAACUGAAACAUCUAAGUACCCCGAGGAAAAGAAAUCAACCGAGAUUCCCCAGUAGCGGCGAGCGAACGGGGAGCAGCCCAGAGUCUGAAUCAGCUUGUGUGUUAGUGGAACGGUCUGGAAAGUCCGACGGUACAGGGUGAUAGUCCCGUACACCAAAAUGCACAGGCUGUGAACUCGAAGAGUAGGGCGGGACACGUGGUAUCCUGUCUGAAUAUGGGGACCAUCCUCCAAGGCUAAAUACUCCUGACUGACCGAUAGUGAACCAGUACCGUGAGGGAAAGGCGAAAAGAACCCCGGCGAGGGAGUGAAAAGAACCUGAAACCGUGUACGUACAAGCAGUGGGAGCACCUUCGGGUGUGACUGCGUACCUUUGUAUAAUGGGUCAGCGACUUAUAUUCUGUAGCAAGGUUAACCGUAUAGGGAGCCGCAGGGAAACCGAGUCUUAACUGGGCGUUAAGUUGCAGGGUAUAGACCCGAAACCCGGUGAUUCAGCCAUGGGCAGGUUGAAGGUUGGGUAACACUAACUGGAGGACCGAACCGACUAAUGUUGAAAAAUUAGCGGAUGACUUGUGGCUGGGGUGAAAGGCCAAUCAAACCGGGAGAUAGCUGGUUCUCCCGAAAGCUAUUUAGGUAGCGCCUCGUGAACUCAUCUUCGGGGUAGAGCACUGUUUCGGCUAGGGGUCAUCCCGACUUACCAACCCGAUGCAAACUACGAAUACCGAAGAAUGUUAUCACGGGAGACACACGGCGGGUGCUAACGUCCGUCGUGAAGAGGGAAACAACCCAGACCGCCAGCUAAGGUCCCAAAGUCAUGGUUAAGUGGGAAACGAUGUGGGAAGGCACAGACAGCCGGAUGUUGGCUUAGAAGCAGCCAUCAUUUAAAGAAAGCGUAAUAGCUCACUGGUCGAGUCGGCCUGCGCGGAAGAUGUAACGGGCUAAACCAUGCACCGAAGCUGCGGCAGCGACACUAUGUGUUGUUGGGUAGGGGAGCGUUCUGUAAGCCUGCGAAGGUGACCUGUGAGGCAUGCUGGAGGUAUCAGAAGUGCGAAUGCUGACAUAAGUAACGAUAAAGCGGGUGAAAAGCCCGCUCGCCGGAAGACCAAGGGUUCCUGUCCAACGUUAAUCGGGGCAGGGUGAGUCGACCCUAAGGCGAGGCCGAAAGGCGUAGUCGAUGGGAAACAGGUUAAUAUUCCUGUACUUGGUGUUACUGCGAAGGGGACGGAGAAGGCUAUGUUAGCCGGGCGACGGUUGUCCCGGUUUAAGCAUGUAGGCUGAUUGUCCGUGCAAAUCCGGAUAAUCAAGGCUGAGGUGUGAUGACGAGGCACUACGGUGCUGAAGUAACAAAUGCCCUGCUUCCGUGAAAGCCUCUAAGCAUCAGGUAACAUUAAAUCGUACCCCAAACCGACACAGGUGGUCAGGUAGAGAAUACCAAGGCGCUUGAGAGAACUCGGGUGAAGGAACUAGGCAAAAUGGUGCCGUAACUUCGGGAGAAGGCACGCUGGUGUGUAGGUGAAGUCCCUGCGGAUGGAGCUGAGACCAGUCGAAGAUACCAGCUGGCUGCAACUGUUUAUUAAAACACAGCACUGUGCAAACACGAAAGUGGACGUAUACGGUGUGACGCCUGCCCGGUGCCGGAAGGUUAAUUGAUGGGGUUAUCCGUAAGGAGAAGCUCUUGAUCGAAGCCCCGGUAAACGGCGGCCGUAACUAUAACGGUCCUAAGGUAGCGAAAUUCCUUGUCGGGUAAGUUCCGACCUGCACGAAUGGCGUAAUGAUGGCCGUGCUGUCUCCACCCGAGACUCAGUGAAAUUGAACUCGCUGUGAAGAUGCAGUGUACCCGCGGCAAGACGGAAAGACCCCGUGAACCUUUACUAUAGCUUGACACUGAACAUUGAGCCUUGAUGUGUAGGAUAGGUGGGAGGCUUUGAAGCGUGGACGCCAGUCUGCGUGGAGCCAACCUUGAAAUACCACCCUUUAAUGUUUGAUGUUCUAACGUUGGCCCCUGACCGGGGUUGCGGACAGUGUCUGGUGGGUAGUUUGACUGGGGCGGUCUCCUCCCAAAGCGUAACGGAGGAGCACGAAGGUUAGCUAAUCUCGGUCGGACAUCAGGAGGUUAGUGCAAUGGCAUAAGCUAGCUUGACUGCGAGCGUGACGGCGCGAGCAGGUGCGAAAGCAGGUCAUAGUGAUCCGGUGGUUCUGAAUGGAAGGGCCAUCGCUCAACGGAUAAAAGGUACUCCGGGGAUAACAGGCUGAUACCGCCCAAGAGUUCAUAUCGACGGCGGUGUUUGGCACCUCGAUGUCGGCUCAUCACAUCCCGGGGCUGAAGUAGGUCCCAAGGGUAUGGCUGUUCGCCAUUUAAAGUGGUACGCGAGCUGGGUUUAGAACGUCGUGAGACAGUUCGGUCCCUAUCUGCCGUGGGCGCUGGAGAAUUGAGGGGGCUGCUCCUAGUACGAGAGGACCGGAGUGGACGCAUCACUGGUGUUCGGGUUGUCAUGCCAAUGGCACUGCCCGGUAGCUAAAUGCGGAAGAGAUAAGUGCUGAAAGCAUCUAAGCACGAAACUUGCCCCGAGAUGAGUUCUCCCUGAGACUUUAAGUCUCCUGAAGGAACGUUGAAGACGACGACGUUGAUAGGCCGGGUGUGUAAGCGCAGCGAUGCGUUGAGCUAACCGGUACUAAUGAACCGUGAGGCUUAACCUUACAACGCCGAAG
rnacentral:rRNA from 1 species